ensembl:snRNA LOC120094020 U6atac minor spliceosomal RNA
UAGCUGUAGAAAAGGAGGUCAGCAUGCCCCUCAAGAGGGAUGGGAGAGGCCCCUUGGCUAAACAGCACGUGUGCGGCUAAGACAUCGCCUCCGCCCUUGUGGCACUGAAGCACUGUUUUAG